UACGUAGGGUGCGAGCGUUGUCCGGAAUUACUGGGCGUAAAGAGCUCGUAGGUGGUUUGUCGCGUUGUUCGUGAAAACCUGAGGCUUAACCUUGGGCGUGCGGGCGAUACGGGCAGACUGGAGUACUGCAGGGGAGACUGGAAUUCCUGGUGUAGCGGUGAAAUGCGCAGAUAUCUGGAGGAACACCGGUGGCGCAAGGCGGCAUCCUGGACCAACACUGACGCUGAGGAGCGGAAAGCCAGGGGAGCAAAGCGGGGAU
rnacentral:rRNA from 1 species